GACGAACGCUGGCGGCGUGCUUAACACAUGCAAGUCGAACGGAAAGGCCCUGCUUUUGUGGGGUGCUCGAGUGGCGAACGGGUGAGUAACACGUGAGUAACCUGCCCUUGACUUUGGGAUAACUUCAGGAAACUGGGGCUACUACCGGAUAGGAGCUCCUGCUGCAUGGUGGGGGUUGGAAAGUUUCGGCGGUUGGGGAUGGACUCGCGGCUUAUCAGCUUGUUGGUGGGGUAGUGGCUUACCAAGGCUUUGACGGGUAGCCGGCCUGAGAGGGUGACCGGCCACAUUGGGACUGAGAUACGGCCCAGACUCCUACGGGAGGCAGCAGUGGGGAAUAUUGCACAAUGGGCGGAAGCCUGAUGCAGCAACGCCGCGUGCGGGAUGACGGCCUUCGGGGUGUAAACCGCUUUCGCCUGUGACGAGGCGUGAGUGACGGUAAUGGGUAAAGAAGCACCGGCUAACUACGUG
rnacentral:rRNA from 1 species